rnacentral:rRNA from 1 species
GAUGAACGCUGGCGGCGUGCCUAAUACAUGCAAGUCGAGCGAACGGACGAGAAGCUUGCUUUUCUGAUGUUAGCGGCGGACGGGUGAGUAACACGUGGAUAACCUACCUAUAAGACUGGGAUAACUUCGGGAAACCGGAGCUAAUACCGGAUAAUAUUUUGAACCGCAUGGUUCAAAAGUGAAAGACGGUCUUGCUGUCACUUAUAGAUGGAUCCGCGCUGCAUUAGCUAGUUGGUAAGGGAACGGCUUACCAAGGCAACGAUGCAUAGCCGACCUGGGAGGGUGAACGGCCACACUGGAACUGAGACACGGUCCCAACUCCUAAGGGAGGCAGCAGUAGGGAAUCUUCCGCAAUGGGCGAAAGCCUGACGGAGCAAAGACGCGUGAGUGCUGAAGGUCUUCGGAUCGUAAAACUCUGUUAUUAGGGAAGAACAUAUGUGUAAGUAACUGUGCACAUCUUGACGGUACCUAACCAGAAAGCCACGGCUAACUACGUG